rnacentral:rRNA from 1 species
UCGCCCCGUUCAUGGAGACUUGGACGAUAUAUACCGGGCAGGCGGCCCGAUCCCCGCCGAACACCACAUUCCUCGGCACCCGCUCAACCGGGGGCGAGGUUCGGUGCUGGGGCGGUGCUGGGCUCAUCCCUGUUCGCUCGCCGCUUCUAAGGGAUCCUUUGGAGUUUCUUUUCCUCCGCUUACUGAUAUGCUUAAGUUAGUUUCUUUUCCUCCGCUUACCAGAGAGGAUGUCAGGCCCGUAGCUUAGACGAGCCGAGACCGUGCAUCGGAUCCCGUCCCAAGAGGCGGGCUGCUGGAGCGUGCAGCCCUUAAGCGGGAGUUAAACUCCUUCUACGGCUAAAUAUCGCCACGAGACCGAUCACGAACAAGUACCGCGAGGGAAAGUUGAAAAGAACAUUGAAGAGAGAGUUCAAGAGAGCGUAAAACCCUUAGGGGGUUAAACGGGUGGGCCCUUGAAGGUCGAACGAGCCCCCGCUCCCGGCACUUGGUCGAAGGGUUUCACCGCCCCCGCUCCCGGCCCUUGGUUGCAUGCCCUCUGCUGCGAAGAGACCGACUUGAUUUGGCGGCUCUGUUCGUUGGCGAGGACCGCAUUAGCGGCGCCAAGGUCGGCAAGUGGCCUAGUAGGACUCCGCGACCGACUGGGUGUCUGUUAUACGGGGCGGUCGUUAGUGAGUUUUGGGUUACCUCGUGUGCCCCCGCCGAGCGCGGCGUCACUCAACAGUACUGCCCGGUAGUGACCUGUCUCCUCCCGGAUUGUCUACGUGUGUCUCGCUAGAGGCUUCGAUCUGGAGCUUCAGGGCUUGGCAUCACGUUGUAGAAAACCGCGGAGGCCCAGAGCGGAGAUUAGAAGUGGGGUCCCCCCCGACCCGUCUUGGAAACACGGACCAAGGAGUCUAACAUGUGCGCGAGUCGUCGAGUCUAUUACGAAGAACACGUUGGGACCCGAAAGAUGGUGUCCUCUGCCUGGCCAGGAAGAAGCCAGGGGAAAACCUGGUGGAGGUCCGCAGCGAUUCUGACGUGCAAAUCGAUCGUCGGAGUUGGGGAUAGGGGCGAAAGACUAAUGGAAUCAUGAAUUUGGGUAUAGGGGCGAAAGACUAAUCGAACCAUCUAGUAGCUGGUUCCCCCCGAAGUUUCCCUCAGGAUAGCUGGGGCUCGCAAAGAGAACAAACGGAGUUUCAUCCGGUAAAGCGCAUGAUUAGAGGCCCUUGGGGGUCGAAACGACCUCAACCUAGUUCCCCCUUUCAAUGGGUGAGAAGCCCGGCCUGCAUUUCUUGAUUGAGGCCAUGGGAAUAAUUUUAUAUUGUGAAUCUGAGCGCCCAGUGGGCCAUUUUUGGUAAGCAGAACUGGCGCUGUGGGAUGAACCAAACGCCCGGUUAAAACGCCUAAACGACGCACCUUUCGGAUCCCACGAAAAGGGUUUGGUUGCUAAAGCCAGAGAAGCUCAUAUCAGUUUUAUGAGGUAAAGCGAAUGAUUAGAGGCCUUGGGGAUAUAUUAUCCUUAACCUAUUCUCAAACUUUAAAUACGUAAGAAGUUUAGGUUACUUAAUUGAACCUAGACAUUGAAUGAGAGCUUCUAGUGGGCCAUUUUUGGUAAGCAGAACUGGCGAUGAGGGAUGAACCUAACGUCGAGCUAAGGUGCCCAAAUUCACGCUCAUCAGACACCAUAAAAGGUGUUGGUUAGUAUAAACAGCCGGACUGUGGCCAUGGAAGUCGGCACCAGCUAAGGAGUGUGUAACAACUCACCAGCCGAAUUAACCAGCCCUGAAAAUUGAUGGCGCUAAGCGUGAUACCGAUACUCGACCAACAGGGCAAAUAGAAGCCUUGUUGAGUAAGAGGGCGUGAACAUUGUGUAGAAGGCUUGGACGUGAGUCUGGCUGGAACAAUGUUUAGUGCAGAUCUUGGUGGUAGUAGCAAAUAUUCAUGUCAAAAGGGAAUGAGGUUGAUAUUCCUCAAGCUGAAUGCGGAGGUUUCGUGGCAACACAAACAAGCUUGGAGACAUCGGCAUGUGCAACUGGAAGAGUUCUCUUUUCUUCUUAACAAUCUAUCUCCCUGAAUGGAUUAUCCAAAGCUAGGGAUAUAUGGUUGGCAGAGCAGUUCACCAUCGAACUGUCAGUGAUGCUCAUGACGAUCCUUGAAAAUCCAAGUACGGUGAUCCUUUCGCAUCAGGUCGUACCCAUAACCGCAUCAGGUCUCCAAGGUUAACAGCCUCUGGUCGAUAGAAUAAUGCAGAUAAGGGAAGUCGGCAAAUUAGAUCCGUAACUUCGGGAAAAGGAUUGGCUCUGAAGACUGGGUCGGUGGGGCCUGCUCUAACGUGUUUUGUCUGAUCUGUGGAGAUUCCGGUCUCUGCUUUGAUGAUGAGAUGCGCGAAAGUACGGAGCUGCUGGCGUAAAACAGUCAAUUCAGAACUGAAGCGGACAGGGGGAUUCUAACUGUUUAAUAAAAACACAGCAAAGUGAUGGCCUGAAAAGGUUUUGACACUUUGUUAAUCCUGCCCAGUGCUUUGUACGUUAAUGUGAGGAAAGUUGAGCAAGCACAGGUAAACGGCGGAAGUAACUAUGACUUUCUUAAGGUAGCGAAAUGCCUCGGCAUGUAAUUUGUGUCCUGCAUGAAUGGAUCAAUGAGGUUCCUACUGUCCCUAUCUACUAUCUAGCGAACCCACAGCCAAGGGAACGGGCUUGGAAUAAUCAGCGGGGAAAGAAGACUGCCUCGUUUUCUCAGCGGGGAAAGAAGACCCUGUUGAGCUUGACUCUAGUACGGCAUUGUGGAGUGACAUGAGAGGUUUUUAGUGACAUGAGAGGUGUAGCAUAAGUGGGAGAUGUGCCUUCGGGAUCAGCGACGAUGAAAUACCACAACUUUCCUGGUCGCUUCACUAGGACGAUGAAAUGUUGUGAAAUGACUUAGGAGGUGUAGAAUAAGUGGGAGCCUCGGCAACCGUGAAAUUCCACUACUUCUAAUGUUGUUUUACUUAUACCAUUAUGUAGCAACUAGCCGUCCUCGCGGGCGCCUAGUUCUAGAUGUAAGCCUGUGCUUCUGUGCGGGUGAGCUACGUGGAAGACAUCGUCAGGUGGGGAGUUUGGCGGGGGCGGCACAUCUGUUAAAUGAUAACACAGGUGUCCUAAGGUGAGCUCAAUGAGAACAGAAAUCUCAUAGAACAAAAGGGUAAAAGCUCACUUGAUUUUGAUUUUCAGUAUGAAUACAAACCGUGAAAGCGUGGCCUAUCGAUCCUUUAGUUCUUUUGAAUUUUAAGCUAGAGGUGUCAGAAAAGUUAC